ACCAGAAUCUUGUUAGAUGGCUUUUUCUUUUUUCUUUUUAGCUCUUGCAGAUUCUUUUUGGUCAAAAGUAUCCAACCUAUGGAGUAUCAGGGCUAAAAGAAAACCUAUGUAGUAUCAGGGCUAAAAAAAAGUUGACCAAGGUCAUUGCAUCUAUUGCACGAGUGUGCUUGUUAGUACUUUUCUCUCUCCUGUACCUGAUAAAAACUUCACAUCACUCACUUGGUUCUAGUGGAAGAGGCUUGAGGGCAAUGGUAACAGAUGUCCCCUAGACUAGACUAGUUUUUUUUUUCUUCUUUUCUUUUUUUCAGCCAGGCCCAGGGCACACCGAAGUUCCCAGGCCAGGGAUGAAGCCCUAGCCACAGCAGGGACCUGCUCCACAGCAGUGACAAUGCCAGAUCCUUAACCCACUGUAGCACCAGGAAACUCCUGGACUAGUUUUUUUAAUUUUCACAAUGCACCUUGUCUAUCUUCAAAGUCUUGUAGAAAUUGACAAUUUGACUUGAGCUUUUAGUAGUGUAUUUAUUCCUUUUGUCUCCAAAUACGUCCACCAAUAAAUUUUAUAAAACUUACCACUCAGUUACCUGAGGCUUAAAUAUAAGAUCAGUUCUGAAAGCCUUGGAGUGACUUAAAUGCCCAUUCAGCUAAUAGGAUGAGAGUGAGGCCAUUAGACCUAUGCUUUAUAUUCAUAUCCGACUCCAUGGAGUCCCACCCUCUCACAUUUUAAUUUACCUUCCAUCUUAAGUCAAUUGUGACACUUUCAAAAAAUACCACAAAUUCUGAUAUCUCCCUACUGGUAAUUCCUAUACAGAAUGAAAUAUAUUUGAAAAAUAGGUAAAAUAUGUUACAGCUUGAUGGAUAUCAGUUGGCUGAAUGUGUGGCAGCUCAAAAGUAUAAGCUAACCCUUCUAUAAUGUGGUGGUAACCAGAGAAGUGAGCCCUCUCUCCUGAUUCAAGUUGCCAUUUGGUGGAUGUCAUGAGCUAGGGCUCUUUGCUAAAAACACUAGUCAAUAAUCUUAGAGACAGCUCCUUGGGAAACAUCACUAUUGACAACACAGAACUUGAAGAUGAGUAGAUCUUGCCCUUUGAAUCCUCACAUGCAGUCUCGGCUUAGAAAGUCUUCAUUCCAGGUGGAUAUUUGUUAUCUUCCACAAAUGAGUAUGAAGUGAAAAUGGCCACUUUUCUCUGUACUGGUCAUGGCUCUGUGGGGAAAGAGCAACUUUUGAUAGUAAUUGGUUGAUCCAAUUAUAGUCAUUGGCCAAUUUUCCCUUUAAAGGUUUUCUUUGUAAGGCCAUAAGAAGAGUUUACUUUCUUGCUUAGAGGUGACUCGGUAGGCAAUAAAUCUAGGUGUAUAUAAUUGUUCUUCAAGUGAUGUUUAAAAAUUAUGAUGUGACUCAAGUCAAGUUUAAGUUCUCCUGCCUUUAAAGAUUUUCUCUCCUGAGAUCAAUGUCUUCAACCUCUCCUCCAAGGAGAUGUUGUUGCCUUUCGUGUCUCCUUCACACCACCAAAGGUAACUGGUGAUUUAUGAGUAAGAAGAUCACCUCAGAUGUAGCUUCCAUGUUCAAGGUUGACUUUUGAUAGUUCUUAUAUACCAGCUGACUUAAGUGUAUUUUUGCUUCAGCCAAUACCACCAAUUCCUCUAACAAAAAAGUCAACAGAUAUUUAUUGGGAACCCAAAUUAAUAAAAACAGCAAACAUUACUGAGCAUUCACUAUACUCCAGGCACUGCUCUAAGAGCUUUACAUACGUAUUUUGCAUUCAACCUUUUGACAUCCCUGUGAUAUAGUUUUAUUAUCCAUUUACAAGUGAAGAAAUGGAAAAACCCAAAUGGUGAAGUAACUUGCUCCAGCAGCUGGUUAAUGUGUCAAAGAGAGGACUUGAACCCAGGCAGACUGACUUAAGAGUUUCAACAUUUAAUCCCUAUCCCAUACUACCUGCAGUCCCAUCCAGACAGUCAGUAAAGGUAUGAAAGAAAAUAAAGUGGGAUCAUCCCUGUGCUUUUCAUUCUCCUUCCUGCCCGCUUCUAUUCCUGAGGGCAGUAAACUCACUUCUCCACCUUUGUUCAAGCACUGUUGCCCUAUGCUAAGUGCCACCUUGAUCCACUUCUGACUGUAUUCUUCAAGGGCAAUUUCAUUUCUCCUCCCAUUUGCUCCUCCAAAUCACACCAUGCUAGCUCACUCCUAUCUCUUCUUUCUUUGACCUUAUUACAGCUAAUUGAACACUACCAGUGAUUUUGUUAGCUGCUUGAGGGAAGGGUUUUCAUGCAGGUUACUUCCUUCGUAUUCUCUAGAUUGGGAGGAGUGGCCAAUCUACAUGGCACCCUCAAAUCCAUUUCUAGAAUCCAGAGGUUACUUCCGUGUGGAUGCCCUACUUUUGUUCUUUUCUUCCUCUUCCUUGUUCAUCUGCUCCUCCUUCAAUGUAAUAAAGUCAUAUCCAUACUCAUUUUAUCUCUCCAUUGUUUCUGAUGAGAGGUCAGCCUAUGUUUGUACAUCAUUCCUCUGUAUAUAAUUAGUUUCUUUUCUCCUCUGGCUGGGUUUCACUUUGAUUCUUGUUUUCAGCAGUUUGACCUUGAUGUGAUGAAAUGUGGUUUUCCUUGUAUUUGUCUUAUUUGGGGUUUUCAGAGCUUCUUGGAUUUGUAGGUCAAUUUUUUGUUUGUUUACAUGGCUUUUUAAAACCAAAUUUGGGAGAUUUGGGGCUAUUACUUAACAUUUUUUCUGUCUCAUUCUUUCUCUCCUCUUUCUGAGACUUCAACACAUACAUUACGCUGCUUGUUAUUUUGCUAUCACUCACUGACACACUGCUUUUUUUUUUUUCUUUCUUUUUUUUUUUUUUAGGGCCACACUCACAGCAUAUGGAAGUUCCCAAGCCUAGGGGUCAAAUGGGAGCUGCAGCUGCCAGCCUACACCACAGCCGCAGCAAUGCAGGAUCACAGCCACAUCUGCAAACUACACCGCAGCUCAUGGAAAUGCUGGAUCCCCAACCCACUGAAUGAGGCCAGGGAUCAAACCUGUAUCCAAUUCGUUUCCACUGCCCCAAAACGGGAACUCCAACAUUGUUCAUUUAAAAAAUUUUUUUUCUCUUUGCUCCAUAGAUUGAAUAAUUUUGUUCUGCAGACCCUGGUGUGCUGUUAAGCCCAUUCAAUGAGUUUUUCAUUAUAGAUACUGUACUUUUCAGUUCUAGAAUUUCCAUUUGUUUCUUUUUUUCUCAUCCAUUCUCUGCUGAUAAUUCCCAUCUAUUGACUCGUUAGGUCUACCUUUUCUAAGUUCUUGAACAUAUUUAUAAUCAUUGCUUUAAAGUCCUUGUCACCUAAUUCCAUCAUCUGAGGAAUCUCAGUAUCUAUUUCUAUUGAAUGCUUCUUUUCUUUACUAUGAGUCACAUUUUCUGACUUUGCAAACUUUGAAUGCUCAUUAAAUUUUUAUUAUAAACUGGAAAAUUUAGAAUAUUAGUUAUAGGGA
rnacentral:lncRNA from 1 species